CCUACGGGAGGCAGCAGUGGGGAAUAUUGGACAAUGGGGGCAACCCUGAUCCAGCCAUGCCGCGUGUGUGAAGAAGGCCCUCGGGUUGUAAAGCACUUUCAGUGAGGAAGAACGCCUGGUGGUUAAUACCCAUCAGGAAAGACAUCACUCACAGAAGAAGCACCGGCUAACUCCGUGCCAGCAGCCGCGGUAAUACGGAGGGUGCGAGCGUUAAUCGGAAUUACUGGGCGUAAAGCGCGCGUAGGUGGCUUGAUAAGCCGGUUGUGAAAGCCCCGGGCUCAACCUGGGAACGGCAUCCGGAACUGUCAAGCUAGAGUGCAGGAGAGGAAGGUAGAAUUCCCGGUGUAGCGGUGAAAUGCGUAGAGAUCGGGAGGAAUACCAGUGGCGAGGCGGCCUUCUGGACUGACACUGACACUGAGGUGCGAAAGCGUGGGUAGCAAACAGGAUUAGAUACCCGAGUAGUC
rnacentral:rRNA from 1 species